rnacentral:rRNA from 1 species
AACGAACGCUGGCGGCAGGCUUAACACAUGCAAGUCGAGCGCCCCGCACGGGGAGCGGCAGACGGGUGAGUAACGCGUGGGAACGUACCCUUAUCUUCGGGAUAGCUCCGGGAUACUGGAAUUAAUACCGAAUGUGCCCUUUGGGGGAAAGAUUUAUCGGAUAAGGAUCGGGCCGCGUUGGAUUAGCUAGUGGGUGGGGUAAAGGCCUGGCAAGGCGACGAUCCAUAGCUGGUCUGAGAGGAGGAUCAGCCACAUUGGGACUGAGACACGGCCCAAACUGCUACGGGAGGGAGGAGUGGGGAAUGUUGGACGAGGGGGGCAAGUCUGGUCCAGCCAUGCCGGGUGAGUGAGGAAGGGCUUAGGGUUGUAAAGCUCUUUGAGCGGAGAAGAUAAUGACGGUAACCGGAGAAGAAGCCCCGGCUAACUACGUG